rnacentral:rRNA from 1 species
AUGGUCGGGGGCGCCGGCGACCUCUACGCCAGCGUCCAGAAGCUCGACGGCUCCUACGUCCUGCCCGGGGCGAACACCGACGCGCUCCUAUGCCCCGCCGUGCCCUCGCCGGCGGCGGUCCCCAGCAUCUCCCUGUCCCUCCUCGGCCUGCCGAGCCCGUCGCCGGCUUUCUUCAGGUGCGGCUAUUGUCACAGCCCGGGCUACGUGACGGAGGUGAGAGGCGCCAAGUGCCCCAGAUGUGGCAACCAUAUGGCGGACGCGAUCCAGUGCGUGCGGCCCGAUUCCGGCGACUCCGGGCAGGCCGCCGCCGGAGGGGCGAGAGGGUUCGUGCAGGGCGUGGUGACGUACACGGUGAUGGACAACCUCGCCGUGACCCCCAUGUCCGCCAUCGCCAGCAUCACCCUGCUCAACACCUUCGCCGUCAGGGGCCUCGGCGCGCUCCAGGAGAUGACCGUGCGGAUCGGCUACAAGGAGGGUUUGGCGAUUCUCAAGGCGGCGCUGCAGUCCAAGACUGUCCUCACCGACGUCUUCCUCGCCGGCUGCAAGACAGGUCCGGUGUACGACUGA